GUGCUUGCUUUGGCAGCACAUAUACUAAAGUUGAAAUGAUACAGAGAAGAUUAGCAUGGCCCCUGCACAAGGAUGACACGAAAAUUCGUGAAGCCGUUGCAUGUUUUU
ensembl:snRNA U6 U6 spliceosomal RNA